UACGUAGGGGGCGAGCGUUGUCCGGAAUGACUGGGCGUAAAGGGCGUGUAGGCGGCCGGAUAAGUUAGGAGUGAAAGUCCCGCUUUCAAGGUGGGAAUUGCUUUUAAUACUGUCCGGCUUGAGUGCGGAAGAGGUAAGUGGAAUUCCCAGUGUAGCGGUGAAAUGCGUAGAGAUUGGGAGGAACACCAGUGGCGAAGGCGACUUACUGGGCCGCAACUGACGCUGAGGCGCGAAAGCGUGGGGAGCGAAC
rnacentral:rRNA from 1 species